rnacentral:lncRNA from 1 species
GUCUUGUUGCCUAAUGAAGCUCUUGCAUUUUUUGCAGGUUAAAUAUUUAUGUACACAGUGUGGGAGGCUUUCAGAAAAUACCAGAAGUUAAUCUCAUCUCUGUGAAAACACUGGCCCUGAGAAACAGACUGAUUACCAUGGAUGAAGAAAUAUUGGUGCAAACAGUUAACCUUUCAGGCUGGCAAGCCUCUGAAGAUUCAGCAAGAAUUGAUCCUGAAGCUAAACCACAGACCACCAUUCACUCAUUUGCUCUUCUACCGGGCAGCGUUAUUGAUUAUUCAGAGGACAUACAGGAACAUCCUUCAUGUGUGAUUAAAAGUGUUACAGUGGAAGACACACCUGAAGAGGAUGGAGGGGGAAAUUCAUGGUUGCACAAGCUUGGAAUGAAUAUAAACAAGUGGUCAUUUCUGAAUUCCCUGAUUGGAUGGAGUGAAAACAGAACUCAGAAAAAAGAUCAUGUUACCACAUUCGGAGGUUGUUCUGAUACUGAUCACAAAGCAACUGAGCUGAAGGAAUGUACAAACAAAGAAGUGCUGUAUAUUCCCUACAAUUUGGCUACAUUGUAUAUCAUCAAGAUUGUAAAAGACAUGCAGCAAAUGAAAAGCAAACACAUGAAAAUAAUCAGAAAACUAGAAAAUAUAAGGAAAGAAAACCAUGUAAGUAUUCUGGAG